CAACUUGCCUUUCAGAGGGGGAUAACACAUCGAAAGGUGUGCUAAUACCGCAUGAAAUGACGGGAUCGCAUGAUCCUGUUAUCAAAGGAGCAAUCCGCUGAAAGAUGGGCUCAUGUCUGAUUAGAUAGUUGGUGAGGUAACGGCUCACCAAGUCGACGAUCAGUAGCCGGACUGAGAGGUUGAACGGCCACAUUGGAACUGAGAGACGGUCCAGACUCCUACGGAAGGCAGCAG
rnacentral:rRNA from 1 species